rnacentral:antisense_RNA from 1 species
GCUCGCCUGCUCGCCUAGUGGGGGAGAGGGGAGCGGGGCCGACACAGGACUGCAGUUGACAGCAGAUAACUGAAAGCUUGGAAAGUGAAACCGUGGAUAAGCAGGGGAACUGUGGCAUCCCAUUUAAAAUUGCUUCUGAAGAGAAGCAUGAGGUUACAUCUGUAAUCUCCCUGCAGCAGAGUCAACUGCAUAAGAAACCAAAAGACACAUCUGCUCCAUGCCAGCCUAAGCCACCACAUAAAAAGUCAGACCAUCUGCUGGAAGAACCACAUGGAGAGGCCCUGAGUCGACAUGGAGAGGAAGAAGGACUUGAUUGAAUCCAGCCUUCCAGCUGUCCCUACCAAGGUGCCAGGCACGAGAAUGAAGCUGUCUUGGACUCUGAAGACCAGCUUAGCCACCAGUUUCUGUGGGCCUCAAACAACACUUUCUGAAUUUUCCCCUCUCACCCUCUACUCACUCCCUGAAAGGUAAGUAGAGUUGGGUUGAAGAUGAAAUUCAACAAGUAAUUGGCACCUCGCAACCAGCACUUUGAUUCUGUAGUCACACAGGUCUCACAUGG